AUUAAACGCUGGCGGCAGGCUUAACACAUGCAAGUCGAGCGGUAGCACAGGGGAGCUUGCUCCCUGGGUGACGAGCGGCGGACGGGUGAGUAAUGUCUGGGAAACUGCCUGAUGGAGGGGGAUAACUACUGGAAACGGUAGCUAAUACCGCAUAACGUCGCAAGACCAAAGAGGGGGACCUUCGGGCCUCUUGCCAUCAGAUGUGCCCAGAUGGGAUUAGCUAGUAGGUGGGGUAAUGGCUCACCUAGGCGACGAUCCCUAGCUGGUCUGAGAGGAUGACCAGCCACACUGGAACUGAGACACGGUCCAGACUCCUACGGGAGGCAGCAGUGGGGAAUAUUGCACAAUGGGCGCAAGCCUGAUGCAGCCAUGCCGCGUGUGUGAAGAAGGCCUUCGGGUUGUAAAGCACUUUCAGCGAGGAGGAAGGUGGUGAGCUUAAUACGUUCAUCAAUUGACGGUACUCGCAGAAGAAGCACCGGCUAACUCCGUG
rnacentral:rRNA from 1 species